UCUCGCUUCGCUAGCAGUAAUCAAAUUCAAGUUGUCAUAGAAGCUCAAUCCCCAUCAUCACAACCACAGCAUCCAAAAAAAAUAAUAAAAAAUGAGUCUUUUCAAAUCAAUCUUCGCCAAAACUACCACGUCUUAAACAAACACACGCCCAGGUCCUCUUGUCUCCCUCUUAAAACCCCGUUCUGUAAUUCGGUUCAGUGGUCCAGACACAAUCAAGUUCUUACAAGGUUUUUUAACACACAAUGUUAAAAAAUUCAGUGAAACUCCCUAGCGAGACAACGUCGUAUGUGCCCACUCCGAAUUUGGCUUCUGUCUCUGUCCCUCCUAUGUACGCUGCGUUUUCGACUACACAAGGGAGGUUCUUGUCUGAUUUGUUUUUGUACAGAAAGCCCCGAGGUGAAGAGAAGCUUGAUGGGUCCGGGUCAGGUCCUUGUGGGGAUUUGGAGUUGUUUGCUGAUGUGGAUAGCUCUGUUCUUGAUGAGCUAUUGCAGACUUUUAAAAACUGGUGAAAGGAAAGAACCUUGCGCAAGUAGGGGAUGAACUGAAGGGGGCGGACAUGCUUGCUUGGUUUGCGGGUUAUAGUGAUGUUGGAUUGAGGAGAUAUAUUUUUACACAGUUGUUUGAUUUAAUGUUCAUAGCCAUACUUGGUUGCAAUAAAUUUGAAUAGUUAUCAAUUUAGCGUGGGAAUUUUAUUUGGGAAAGUUGACAAAUGCGGUAUGCUAGCGGAUGAUUUAGUAUAAAUGUAUUUGUAGUCCCAUUAUGGUGUAGAGCAAAAGGUUGUGGACCGUAUAAGUUAAGGACAAGAUUUUUCAACUAGGAUGUUUCAAAAUUAAAACUUAGUGGUUGUUUAUUUUUUCUUCUAAAUUGUAGUAGCUGAUGCCCCACCCUCAAAACUGCAAAGGAAGAAGAGAGGGUGGGGUUUUAGGAGCUAUAUAGGUAUCAGUAAUGAAUGUCUCAUUUGCACAUGCACCCACCCUCAGAACCCUAAAAGAUUUUUUUUGGCUGGAUUUUGCACGCAGGAGCUAUUUAGGGAUCAGUCAUGGAUGUCUCAUUUGCACAGACCUUACUAUGACCUCAGGCUUGAUCUGAUGUUUGGAGAAACAUUUUCCAAAAAUUGUUCCUGUAUGCUCAUUGCUUUGUGGAAUGACGGUAGUGGAUUAUUUGGAUCAAUUAUGGGCUUUCCUUUUCAAGUGGCAGUAAGACUUCUUUUGCUGGCAGCGGUUUGGUAGAAACCUUUCUGAAAAAUCAAAAGCUGAAGAAGAAGCAGAGGCAGCUAGUGUUGGCUGGGGCUCUGGGGUUGAUCGUUCUGCAAUGUCAUCUUCACAUGGGAAUGAUGUUGGAUGGCAAUGGUUUAGGGAUCCUAGACGAGAUUGUCUUGGUUUCAGGGGGAUCUUUCUAUCCAAUGAAAUUCGUGGGUUUUCUUAGCCUUCAUUGGUUGCUUGAUGUUAAUAUACAACAGCACAUACGCUAUGAGGCUGAAGAGCUCAUUAUGCAUUAAACUUUCUGACUGAUUAAAUCAAUAGUUAUUUUUUUAGUUUUAAUUUCAUUUUCCCCCAACUAUUUUGGAUGUUACAGCACCUUUGGUUGAGCCUGGCAAUAAAACAAAAGAGCAAAAUUACCUGCUAUGGAGAAUUGAGAAUGAGGUUGCAGAAGGCUCAACUGAGAUUCCCAAAGGUUGAGGCUAUUAGACCAAAACGGUGGCCCGCUGAAUGGUUUUCAGAGCAUCAACAACAUAGUGCUGUGAAAGGGUAGAGCACUAACUCGAAGGAUAGGGUUCGCUUUUCUGAACUUGAGAUAAAUCCUGCUCGUGUUAGCCUCUUUUAUGGCGGUGCAGGUAUUCCAUAUGGUUAAAACUUGUAUCUUUUUAUACAUUUAGCUUUAUAAGGAAGAAAUAAAUCGUUUUUUCUUCUUUUAAAAAAGUAUAGCUAAUAAAAGGAGGGUGUCAAACUCGUGUACUGAUCUGACUACAUGCAUCAACACGACAACAGUCAUUUCAAUAUUGGUUUUUGCCCUAACGUUCAUGUAAUUCUUUCUAACCGGUGAUUUUCAGGUAAAUGAUUCAUGCUAUAUUGAUUGUCUUC